GGCUCAUCAGUUCAAAAGUUUAAAAUUCCCUCCCCUGAGCUUGACUUUAGUCCGUCGUGCCGGAGGUCACCUCCAGCAGCGGCGGAUACCUAACACUCAAACAAACCACAUCAUCUCCUUCACCUCCCUCCCCUGAUUCCAUAUAUCAUCAUAAAACAGUCCAAAUCUUGCUCCAAAAUACAAAACGAAACAAAGUAUGAUGAACCCUAAAGUUUAGAUUCACAAUUAAAUCCUCCUCUCACGGAAUCAAAGUCCUAGAGGUUAAGGCUUUGAUUCCCCUAAACCGCUUCCACAUCAUGGUAACAAGCGUGAAAUGAAAUGGUGAAGAAUGAUUGAAGUAAAUCAUCGAAGCAGAUGGCAGAGUUUAGGAUGUUGGCAGGUCACUUCUUUGCUCGCAGUUAGGCAUGAUGAUGCAGGAUGUUGUUAGGUGAAGUGCAAUAUGAAAUUUUGCUAUGCCAUAACUUAACAUGUAUUGAUUUUGUUGGCUUUAUAUAUUGAUUGCAGGACUGGUUUGUAUGAUUUGCUAAGUGUUAUUGUGUAUGGCUGCAACUCGAAUAUAAAAUGAUCUUGGUCAUGGCUUGCUGCAGGAGCUUGUUAUUUGGAUGUGCUAUAGGUCUAUGGUUUAUGCCUUGUUGCUUUCUGUAGGAUAACAUGUCCAACUGGCUUAACUGGUCCAGGCUCCUAGCAAGCUUGGUUGCAGACCUGAAAUUGCCUUGCACAUGCUGCAUGGUGGUUUGUUGUAUUGUCUGCAUGGUUAUUGCUGCAGGAUGCUAAGUCCCUUGCUUGAUGAUUGAUGCAUGAUAACAAUGAAUUCUGGCUUUGAUGUAGGUAUGGUGGGCAAGGUUGCAAGUCAAUAUGCAAGGCAAGAAAAGCAAGUUUCAAGGCAUAAUGACCAAAUUUACAAAACAAUGGAAUUUCUUGAUCAAUGGAGGAAGUGUGACCAUGGAUCAUUAAUAAAUCAAUGCCAUGUUGAAAUGUGAUCAGUAUUAGGACUUUAGGGUGCAGAAAUGCAAUGGUUGACUUUGGUCAACUGGUUGA